rnacentral:tRNA from 1 species
GCUCCCGUAGCUCAGGAGGAUAGAGCAACGGUUUUCUAAACCGUCGGUCGGGGGUUCGAAUCCCUCCGGGAGUGC